GGCGUUUCCCGCUUUUGUACAUUACAUUCGGUUGUUUUCGAGCAUGUUAUUUUCCUAAAUGUCCAUGGGAACAGCUGACUAAAGUUUGACAGCUAUCAGUUUUCCAUUUGUAAGACUUACACGGAGGAAGCCGUCCAAUUGUCCUGGAUUGAGCCCUUCCCAGUGUUGAUCGACCCACAAAUUAUCUGCUGAUGAGCACAUCUGAAGUCCUGCAAGAAGGCUCUAUUGACUCACAAUGCCUGACUGAACCUGACUGGUCAUAGAAAGUGAUGAGAAGGCAGAAAGACGAUGCAAAAGAGCUGCUGAAUGAGCCCAUUUUUAGUAUUCAAUAUUAGCAUGAAUCUGUUGUUGUAUUUCUUUAACACAAUCUGAACCUCAUGAGUACCAAUGUAGGAAUAUUUGAUUAGAGCAUGUAAGCCCGUAUGCCGAUGUAGCAAUGACUUUAAGAACACACAAUUAUGCCCUGCUGUCAUUUUGUAGAAAUGUAAAUGCAACACAAGUAAAAGCUUAAAUGCUGCUGGACAUGCACGACACCCUCUAGACGACGUGACCUUGUAGCGCUACAUGUACCAGAGUGAGAGGCGAAUGUUUGGUGACCCACUUUGGAAAGAAAACUUCGCCCUCAGCCUAGAAGAGUCGGACGUCAUCAUGUUUUCAUUGAGCGCUAUAGUUCUGCGACUGUGUGGACUGUGUGUUCCUGAGUCUCGUCCCGAGGUUCUACUGCAAUACGUUACUGAAUAGCAGCGUCUCAGUCUAUUAAUUAGUGAUUCGGGAUCAGGCAAUGAGUGCCUGUUUUUCACGAUUUCAGGAAUUCAUAGAUGAAGCUCUGUUAAAUCAGUUGUCUAUGUUGCUGCGUGUUCUAUGCAUGAUCAUUGUUAGCCUUGACGUUACGACAUCCACAGCCAGUGAAAUGUGCACUUGUAGCCUGCGUAGGGGAGAUUUAAAGCAGCAGCCAUGGAUCCACGCAUAUAACUAAGUUUAGACAACUGUGGCUUAAGACAUGAUGUCAAACAUAACUUCAUUAUCUUUGACUCGUGUUGAAUUAAGUUUAAGGAAAUGUAGUUUAGAGUUUCCAUUGGUUUGUUGAUUCUUAAAUUAUUGUCCUUUUAUAGAAGUGGGGGGAUGUUUGACGUCAAUCUGUUGAUGUAUUCAUUUGUUUUGAGGAAUGAGUGGGAUGAGGGAUGGCAAUGAGUGAA
ensembl:lncRNA